GGGAACUGGCGUAUAUUAGCAUAAGGGGCGUGUUUGCAAUUCGUUCAGCUCUCCUCGCCGCCGAGAUCCAGCAUAUGAUCUGCUUUCGGACUGGCCUUUUCUCUGAGGACGUUGUCUAGAAGUGGCGAAGGCCCUGCUCAGAUGGCCAGAGAACCCCGCCUUGCAGUAGAAUGAGCUUUCAAGCCCAGCUUGGGGCAGAUUAUGGGAGGAAAACGCCAGUCGGGUUUCCUAAGUCCCGGCAUCAGUAUCAGACCACCCUUACCUCUGUCCAGGUGCUGAUGUGCCACCGGUAGGCACAGUCAGCAAUGAGGCAGGGGACCCUGGCCUGGGGCCGCACCAGAGCCUUGCAGAAAGUUUCAUCCACUUCACUGUCAUGGCCUUGGUCAAGCUGCAUGCAGGCCACUGUUCGUGUGGCAAUGCCAAGGCCACAGCUGGCUGAGCAUGGGCCAAGGGACAGGAUUUUCCAUCUGCAGUAACAGAAGAUCCCAAUGACAGCUGGGCCUCUGUGAAGGCUGGGUCACUGUGGGGGACUCUUGAAGGACCCUCAGCUCCCUCAACAAUGGUCUGCACACAUUCCCUGGCCACUGAAAUCCCUCCCUGGCCCUGGGUUUCCACUGACCUCACCAGCUGCAAUGUUGCCCCUCACGCCCAUGUCACUGGUUGGCCCUGUGCUGCUCUGGGACCCUGGGACCUGAGGGGUGUAUGGUUUGCACCUUGCCACCACUGGCACCUGACCCUGCAUGACCCUUUGUCCUGGGGGAGCCUAUCCUGUGCACUGCCAGACAGGCAUGACUAGCUUCUGCCCACUAGGAGCCAAUAGCAAAUGUCCCUAAUUGUGACAAUUAAACAGAAGCUGCCUUCGAGACAGAAUCAUUCCUGGCUGAGAAACUAGGGCCCUAGAAAGGAGAGAGACCAUAGAUGCUGAUUACAGGGUGGCCACACAACACCCCAGUGGUAACCAGAACUCAUGUGUGCAUGCUGUCCCCAUUUAAAAGAUAAAGGAGAGAGAAAGAGAGAGAGAGAGAGAGAGAGAGAGAGAGAUUGAUUUGGCUGGGUGUGGUGGUACAUGCCUACAAUCCCAACACUUGGGAGGUGAAGGCCUGAGGUUCAAGAAUUCAAGGCUAUCUUCAGCAGCAUAGAGAGUUUGAUGCUAGCCUGGCCUACAUAAAAGAA